rnacentral:rRNA from 1 species
GAUGAACGCUGGCGGCGUGCUUAACACAUGCAAGUCGAACGAUGAAAGCGGGAGCUUGCUCCUGCUGGAUUAGUGGCGAACGGGUGAGUAACACGUGAGCAAUCUGCCCCGAACUCUGGGAUAAGCGUUGGAAACGACGUCUAAUACCGGAUACGACGCGCGAAGGCAUCUUCUGCGCGUGGAAAGAACUUCGGUUCGGGAUGAGCUCGCGGCCUAUCAGCUAGUUGGUGAGGUAACGGCCCACCAAGGCGACGACGGGUAGCCGGCCUGAGAGGGGGACCGGCCACACUGGGACUGAGACACGGCCCAGACUCCUACGGGAGGCAGCAGUGGGGAAUAUUGCACAAUGGGCGCAAGCCUGAUGCAGCAACGCCGCGUGCGGGAUGACGGCCUUCGGGUUGUAAACCGCUUUUAGUAGGGAAGAAGCGAAAGUGACGGUACCUGCAGAAAAAGCACCGGCUAACUACGUGCCAGCCGCCGCAGUAACAC